rnacentral:tRNA from 1 species
GGGGGUAUAGCUCAGUGGUAGAGUGUAUGCUUAGCAGGCACGAGGUCCUGGGUUCAAUCCCCAGUGCCUCCA